rnacentral:snoRNA from 1 species
UUCCAAAGUGUUGAGCUCAGUGCAGGCGGCUCCCCUGUUCUGGUAAUUAAACUUUGGGACAUUGAAAUGGGCUUGGAGAGCUAUUGGAUAGAAGUGUUACUCUAUUCAUUUACCUCCCACCCUACAAAC